rnacentral:misc_RNA from 2 species
CAACCCCUCAGGCCCUGGUGCCUGGCGUCGGGGCGUUCCCUCGCGGGAAGCCCCCAGAGACAGUGGCGGACCAGUCGCGGCUCCGAGCGCAGUAGUAACAUUCUCGCUUAGGAGGUCUGCGGCGGGCUCCCGGCCGUAAAACCCGGACCCCUCACAGGGCCGACUUCUCAA